CAUCAUUUUUUCAGUGGGAUAUGACGCGUUUUGGCAAAUUUCACGGAAUAAAUGCGUUUGUUUCACGAAUUUAAGGAGAAUCGUGAGUUUUUAAGAAGAAAAUACGUUUUCAGAGGAAAAUAAGAAAAAAAAAACGUACAAAAACUCGUCUUGAGCAUCUCAAAUCGCAACAAUUUGUGCUGAAAGAGCUCAUGAACACGUUUUAAUAGUUGUUUACUUCUUUUUCUACAUAGCUUGUAACAAUAUUCCAGUAUUUUGACCGAUUGUAAUUAUUUAGGGUAAUCGUUUUACGCCUGAACGCCCGUUAUAAAUCAAAGCUCCGAACGCGAAAGCCACAUGGCUUAUCAGGCGUUAUAAUAAAAUGCAUUUUCAAGCAUUUCUACGUGAAAGAUCGGUCUGAAAAUUGGCAUGCACAUAGAAAAUAGGUUUAUAAUUAUCGAGAAGUGCUUAUUUUUCGCGAUGUUAACAGUAAACGUUGUCUUAUAGGUUACAAUACACUAAAUGAUCGCUUCAUGUAGGGCUGUACUCUCUAAAAAAAUAUCAUAGUUGACAGGAAGGCAUGUUUUACACUUUUUACCAUUAUUCGGGUGUUAUCUUGCGGUGAUAAUGGUAGGGCAUGAAUAGGUGUUCACUACUAAAUCCCUGAAAUAUGAUACACGUGAAGACUAUCGUAAACCAUUGCACUAGAAAAGGUUACAUUCCACUAAGAAACGGC